AAUUUUGUUAAUCCAUCGAAUUGUUAACAAAUAUUUUGCAAAAUUCUUAAAUCUUUCAAAAUUUUUAAUUUUAAUUGACUGAAUUUAAUUAAAUCAAAAGAAUCGAAAUUGUUUGUAGUCUCCAUAUAUAAAAGGGGCAAUUGCUUAUAUAUUCCUAAAAAAUUUCCGACUUUCUGAUUUACCCCUCUUAGAAUGUUAAUAUUGAAAAUAUCCUCUUUACGUUCCAACCUAUUUCAAAUAUACUCCUAGUUAAAAUCUGUUAAUGAACUCUAUUAUCUUUAUAAAAUUACUAUUUUGCCCCUUCAAAUAUACCCUUAUAUCAUUACCGACUUUUUUUAUUUGCCCUUAAGUUAGGAGCACAAAAAGUAUUUUGCUUUUUGAUCUUUUUAAAUAUAUUCUUUUACCAUUACUAAUAUUUCUUAUUUAUCCUUAAGUUAAGG
rnacentral:lncRNA from 1 species